rnacentral:rRNA from 1 species
GACGAACGCUGGCGGCGUGCUUAACACAUGCAAGUCGAACGGUGAAGCGCCUUCCUUUUUGGUGGGUGUGGAUGAGUGGCGAACGGGUGAGUAACACGUGAGUAACCUGCCCCCUUCUUCUGGAUAACCGCAUGAAAGUGUGGCUAAUACGGGAUAUUCUGGGUCUGUCGCAUGAUGGGUCUGGGAAAGAUAUUGUUUCGGUGGGGGAUGGGCUCGCGGUCUAUCAGCUUGUUGGUGGGGUGAUGGCCUACCAAGGCGGUGACGGGUAGCCGGCCUGAGAGGGUGGACGGUCACACUGGGACUGAGACACGGCCCAGACUCCUACGGGAGGCAGCAGUGGGGAAUAUUGCACAAUGGGCGCAAGCCUGAUGCAGCGACGCCGCGUGAGGGAUGGAGGCCUGCGGGUUGUGAACCUCUUUCGCCAGUGAAGCAGGCCUGCCUCGUUUGUGGGUGGGUUGACGGUAGCUGGAUAAGAAGCGCCGGCUAACUACGUG